GACGAACGCUGGCGGCGUGCUUAACACAUGCAAGUCGAACGGUAAGGCCCUUCGGGGUACACGAGUGGCGAACGGGUGAGUAACACGUGGGUGAUCUGCCCUGCACUUCGGGAUAAGCCUGGGAAACUGGGUCUAAUACCGGAUAGGACCACUGCCUGCAUGGGUGGUGGCGGAAAGCUUUUGCGGUGUGGGAUGGGCCCGCGGCCUAUCAGCUUGUUGGUGGGGGGAUGGCCUACCAAGGCGGCGACGAGUAGACGGCCUGGGAGGGGGACCGGCACACUGGGACUGGGAUACGGCCCAGACUCCUACGGGAGGCAGCAGUGGGGAAUAUUGCACAAUGGGCGCAAGCCUGAUGCAGCGACGCCGCGUGAGGGAUGACGGCCUUCGGGUUGUAAACCUCUUUCAGCACCGACGAAGCGCAAGUGACGGUAGGUGCAGAAGAAGGACCGGCCAACUACGUGCCAGCCGCCGCGGUAA
rnacentral:rRNA from 1 species